UCAGAUGCAUAGGUGAUGCUUGGCCU
rnacentral:piRNA from 1 species